UGGGGAAUCUUGCGCAAUGGGCGAAAGCCUGACGCAGCAACGCCGCGUGCGGGAUGAAGGCCCUCGGGUUGUAAACCGCUUUCAGCAGGGACGAAGAUGACGGUACCUGCAGAAGAAGCCCCGGCCAACUACGUGCCAGCAGCCGCGGUAACACGUAGGGGGCGAGCGUUGUCCGGAUUUAUUGGGCGUAAAGAGCUCGUAGGCGGUUCCGUCAGUCGGGUGUGAAAACUCUGGGCUCAACCCAGAGACGCCACCCGAUACUGCGGUGACUAGAGUCCGGUAGGGGAGUGCGGAAUUCCUGGUGUAGCGGUGAAAUGCGCAGAUAUCAGGAGGAACACCAACGGCGAAGGCAGCACUCUGGGCCGGUACUGACGCUGAGGAGCGAAAGCGUGGGGAGCGAACAGG
rnacentral:rRNA from 1 species